CGGAAACAGAAGCCCUAAUUGUGGCCAUGUGAAGUGCACUUUCCCGUUUUGUAGCUUUUGUAAUAGAAUUGCACAAUACUUUAUAAAGUAACUUUUAUAGACAGACCCAGAAAUGACUUUUUCCAUCUUUGGGGAUAAAUGGUCAGACUUGAUCUGUGAAAUAUGCGAAGAAGAACUGACAUUAUGGUGCAAAUGUAGCAGACAAAAGGGUUUGGGCGAGCUUUUGCCGGUUAAAUUUGGCUAACCUGCAGAAAGCCUAUUGUCAAGCCAGCCAUGCUUCACUGAGCUCUCUUCCCUCUUUAUGGUUAAGUGAACCUCAAAACAAUGACAAAGAAAUAUGCACUGAGUCACAUAUUCUAAGAAAUAGACUGUACUCUCCUCAAAUCGAAAUAACGGCACUUUAAUUCUUGGAUUUUCCACAUUUUCGUUGGUAAAGCUCCUAUUUGCUUUCUCUGAAUCUGUAUCAGUUCAUGCAGUUCUGCCAAGUGGGGAAGCUUUGCAGGACACUGCCACUGUAGCACUUGAAAUAUUAAGAUGAACAGAACAAGCAAAAGGUGGGAAAACUGGAAAGAUUGAAUGUCCUUUGGAGUUCACAGAGGUUUGGCAGUGGGAGGAGAAAAACAAAACGAAGCAUAGUGGGAGUGUUGAACAGACUUUCCCAAGAUCCCCAGGAAAAGCAAAGCUACUACAAGAACUCACUACAUCAAUGCGUGUUCAUUAUUGAGAACAUCCUAGGAGAGCGUGCAUCAUCACAGGCUGCUCUGAGGUCUGUGCCCAAUCAAGCAAAGAACAACGGGGAUAAUCACACUGUGCAGAGGGUGACCAAUUUAGAAAAAAAGGACCCUUAAGAAGGUCUUCCAACUUCCUUAAAUGACUUUCAUUAAUUUUACACCUUUUGCCAAUUAAUUGCACUUAUGAGCCUUCCUUGUCAAUUACUGCAUUCUCAUUUUCGGCAAUUGAACUAAUCUUGGCCUAUUCAUAUUUUGUUUUUUAAAUAGGUAUUUCCAAUUAUUGAUAUAGAUCUUUAUAAUUACAUUACAAAUGUUUCACCAUAUUUAUUCAUUCUUUAUAGAGACAAAAUAAAGGUUCUAUCAUCUACACUUAAAACAUGUACUUUUUUCUUUACAGCACAACUUACAAUAUAC
rnacentral:lncRNA from 1 species